rnacentral:rRNA from 1 species
GGCAACUCUAAGUCAGUGGCGAACGGGUGCGUAACACGUGAGAAAUCUAACUUCCGGCGGGGGAUAGCCGGCCCAACGGCCGGGUAAUACCGCAUAUACUCUUCGAGGGGCAUCCCUUGGGGAGGAAAGCAGCAAUGCACCGGAAGGGGAUCUCGCGGCCUAUCAGCUAGUUGGUGAGGUAACGGCUCACCAAGGCGACGACGGGUAGCUGGUCUGAGAGGAUGGCCAGCCACAUUGGGACUGAGACACGGCCCAGACUCCUACGGGAGGCAGCAGUGGGGAAUCUUGCGCAAUGGGCGAAAGCCUGACGCAGCGACGCCGCGUGUGGGAUGAAGGCCUUCGGGUUGUAAACCACUGUCGGGAGGGACGAAUUCAUGACGGUACCUCCAAAGGAAGCACCGGCUAACUCCGUGCCAGCAGCCGCGGUAAUACGGAGGGUGCGAGCGUUGUCCGGAAUCACUGGGCGUAAAGGGCGCGUAGGCGGCCUGAUAAGUAGGGGGUGAAAUCCUGCGGCUCAACCGCAGGGCU